rnacentral:misc_RNA from 1 species
GGAAGUCAUCAUCAAUUACGAAAGCUUGAUCUUCGCAAUCGUGCUUUCAUAAGUGCCACACAUACUCGAGGGGGAGUUUACAUGUACAGUAAUCACCAAGGAUGCGAUGGUGGCCGUCUCUAUUAUGAUGGAUGCUCUUGUGUUGUUGUAAACGGAGAUAUGGUAGCACAAGGUUCACAAUUUUCUUUGAAGGAUGUUGAAAUGGUUUUUGCUCAAAUUGAUCUAGAUGCGGUUGCAAGUCUCAGAUCAUCUAUCAGUAGCUUUCAAGAGCAAGCAAGUUGUAAAGCUAAAGUUUCCAAAGUAUUUGUGCCUUACAAGCUUUGCCAACCUUUUAACCUCCUAAUGUCACUUUCAAGUCCACUCAAGAUUAGAUACCACUCUCCUGAGGAGGAAAUAGCACUUGGACCUGCUUGCUG